ACGUAGGGUGCGAGCGUUAAUCGGAAUUACUGGGCGUAGAGCGCACGCAGGCGGUUUGUUAAGUCAGAUGUGAAAUCCCCGGGCUCAACCUGGGAACUGCGUUUGUGACUGUAGGGCUUGAGUGCGGCAGAGGGGGGUGGAAUUCCACGUGUAGCAGUGAAAUGCGUAGAGGUGUGGCGGAACACCGAUGGCGAAGGCAGCCCCCUGGGUCGACACUGACGCUCAUGCACGAAAGCGUGGGGAGCAAACAG
rnacentral:rRNA from 1 species